rnacentral:rRNA from 1 species
UACACAUGCAAGUCGAGCGGAACGAGUUAUCUGAACCUUCGGGGAACGAUAACGGCGUCGAGCGGCGGACGGGUGAGUAAUGGCUGGGAAAUUGCCCUGAUGUGGGGGAUAACUAUUGGAAACGAUAGCUAAUACCGCAUAACGUCUACGGACCAAAGAGGGGGACCUUCGGGCCUCUCGCUUCAGGAUAUGCCCAGGUGGGAUUAGCUAGUUGGUGAGGUAAUGGCUCACCAAGGCGACGAUCCCUAGCUGGUCUGAGAGGAUGAUCAGCCACACUGGAACUGAGACACGGUCCAGACUCCUACGGGAGGCAGCAGUGGGGAAUAUUGCACAAUGGGCGCAAGCCUGAUGCAGCCAUGCCGCGUGUAUGAAGAAGCCUUCGGGUUGUAAAGUACUUUCAGUCGUGAGGAAGG